rnacentral:lncRNA from 1 species
CCAGUACAGACUAUCAAAUAUUGUUAUACUCGCCAAAACCCACUUCUAAUCCAUAGAUCAUCAAUUUAUAUGAUUCUAAUGUCAUAAAUAAGUAUAAAUCACCAUAACAUGAUUUAAAAACUUACCUAAGCAUCGUGAUUCAUACAGUGAGAUAUUUCUGAGUUCUCAAAAUUUUGGAUUCUUCGAUCUUCGACAAUCACGCAUCGAACCCUUCAAGACUCCAACUCAAAUCACGAAAUUUGCCAACACAAAAUACUUAACAAUAGUGCCCAAACCUCACUCCAGAAUUUUCGUAGUAGAGGACCGCUCAUUCCUUC